ACGUUCGUGGCUUAAUAGUAUCACCCAACAACAAAUCAUAUUUAUCAGUAACACCUGUGGAAUGUUGACACCGAUCAACCAGGGAAAUAGCAUAACAUGAAGCGCUUGCGAAUACGCAACACGCAAAUCAAAUAACGGCCCAACCAGGACAUCCGAGGGUUCAUUGCCUUUACCUGCUAUGUCACAAGCUCCGGCACCAGGUCAAACGGGGUCUUCUGCCGAGCCACCUUGUCAACUGCCUUCUUGGUGUCGAUCCAAAGGAGUGAAAACAACCCUGUCCAAGACAGGCUGCCCUGUUCUGGAUGACUUGGCCGAGAAAAUACACCAGUCAGGCUCCUGUUCCGGUCACCAGAGUUCCGGGAACCAGAGCCCGCAAGGCCGAUGGAGCGGCCACAUGUCCAGGGCGUCGCUGGCGGGCGCGGCGGCACGAGCGGCCACCGG